GAUGAACGCUGGCGGCGUGCCUAAUACAUGCAAGUCGAGCGAACGGACGAGAAGCUUGCUUCUCUGAUGUUAGCGGCGGACGGGUGAGUAACACGUGGAUAACCUACCUAUAAGACUGGGAUAACUUCGGGAAACCGGAGCUAAUACCGGAUGAUAUUUUGAACCGCAUGGUUCAAAAGUGAAAGACGGUCUUGCUGUCACUUAUAGAUGGAUCCGCGCUGCAUUAGCUAGUUGGUAAGGUAACGGCUUACCAAGGCAACGAUGCAUAGCCGACCUGAGAGGGUGAGGGGCCAAAGGGGAAGGAGGAAACGGACAGAACUCCAAGGGGAGGAAGAGGGAGGAAAGCUUCCGAAAUGGGGGAAAGCUGGAGGGAGAAACGCGGGGUGAGGGAGGAAGGUUGUGGGAUGGAAAAACGCUGUUAUAAGGAAAGAAAAUAGGUGAAAGUAACGGGGAAAAGCUGGAGGGUACCAAAUAAGAAAGCAAGGGCAAACUA
rnacentral:rRNA from 1 species